CGAUCGGUACCUCAGCUUUGAAGCCAUCAAAUUUGCAGCGAUGCAGGUGAGGAUGGUGGAAAUUCUUAGUUCCUAAACUUUGUCUAGGUCACACCCCACAAGGGAUGAGACUCCUGGGCCAUUAGCUCAGGUGGUUAGAGCGCACCCCUGAUAAGGGUGAGGUCCCUGGUUCAAGUCCAGGAUGGCCCAUUCGGUGUUGGGGGUUUAGCUCAGUUGGUAGAGCGCCUGCUUUGCAAGCAGGAUGUCAGGAGUUCGAGUCUCCUAACCUCCACUGACCGAACUGUAUCCCCAUCUCCAAGAUGUUGGAGUUGAGCUCGAUUGGAGUGUGAUUUAGAUGUGUCCGCUGGAAGACCCCAGCUUCCUGUCAUUCCAAAGACAAGUAAAAAGUUUACUUGUUGACUUUGGUUGAUAAGAUGCUGGGCUCAAAUGAGUUGAUCAAGCAAUUGAUCAAUUGAUUUGAAGUUCUAGCAGAACCUUGACAACUGCAUAGGUAAGUCUGGAAAGAAUAAAGCAUCUCAUGGAUGAUGCGAUGAUUCUUUUCUGUGAUCCGAAAGGAUGAUGGAGAAGGAGAGUUGCAAAUUCUAUCGAGCAAGAGCCGAGACUCCAUCACGUUCUUUCAAUUGUGUCGAGCAAUUGCGAGUUUGAUUCUUGAUUCAGCAAUGAAUCAGGGAGAAUCUGUUUCAACGACAGCAAGCGUGUUGGAGAUUAUAU
rnacentral:tRNA from 1 species